ACAAUGACCCUUAUUAAGUUAGACUUACUAGUCUUAGUAAGUUUUAGACCCUAAUAUAGGAAUUUUCAGGAACCUAUCUUGGUUAACGUCAUGGUGGAGCCAGCGUCAUGUCACAGGAACAGAAGUUUUCCUCUCUACAGUCACCAACGGCUUGUUCAAACGGACAAAAAAAAUCAUUUAAUGAGAAUUUAGAGACCUCAUCUCGCACUGCACCACGCUGUCUGAGAUCCUCCAGCACUGUUCGACUGGUACCUUACCUUCUCUCAUAAUGAGAGGUAAGUAUACUUCAAGGCUCUUCUCUGUUCUGGCACCGAGGUGGUGGAAUA